rnacentral:rRNA from 1 species
AUGGCGGAGGACGCCGGCGACAGGGACCAGCAGCAGCAGCAGCCCGCCGCGGCCGUGGGGCCCGGAGCAGGGCACGCCUGCGGGGAGGACGGCGGCGGCAGGGACGAGAGCUCCGUCAAGCUCUUCGUCGGCCAGGUGCCCAAGCUCAUGACGGAGGCCGAGCUGGCCGCCAUGUUCCGCGACGUCGCCGUCGUCGACGAGGUCACCGUCAUCCGCGACAAGGCCACCAAGGCGUCCCGAGGCUGCUGCUUCCUGAUCUGCCCAUCAAGGGAGGAGGCUGACAAGGCAGUGAAUGCAUUUCACAACAAACGCACGCUUCCUGGGGCCCCAAGUCCAUUGCAAGUAAAAUAUGCCGAUGGAGAGUUGGAAAGGCUGGAGCACAAACUUUUCAUCGGAAUGCUCCCCAAAAAUGUAACAGAUGCUGAAAUGACUGAUUUAUUUUCACAAUAUGGAAAUAUCAAAGAUUUGCAGAUUUUGAGAGGUUCACAACAGACGAGCAAAGCCGGCUGUGCCUUUCUGAAGUAUGAAACAAAAGACCAGGCUGUGGCAGCUAUCGAAGCUUUAAAUGGGAAGCACAAAAUAGAGGGUUCAAGUGUACCUUUGGUUGUAAAAUGGGCUGACACAGAAAAAGAAAGGCAGGCUCGAAAAGCACAAAAGGCUCAAUUUCCGCCGUCUAAUAUGUCAAAUGCAAAUGCCAUGCAACAGAGUUCAUUAUUUGGUGCCUUACAGAUGGGAUAUGUGCCUCCAUAUAACGGAUUUGGCUACCAGCCACAAGGAACCUAUGGGCUUAUGCAGUACCCUUUAUCUCCAAUGCAAAAUCAAGCAGGCUUCCAGAAUAUGGUUCAGCCUGUCAAUCAAGGAAGCUCAAUACGGGGCGUUAAUUCUGAACUAUCCCCUAAUUCAGUUGCAAGGUCAUUCAAUUCAAUGCAGUUGGGCAGCCCUUAUCCAGCUGGGCCUGGUAUGCAGUAUCCUGGGUCAUAUCCUGGUGGUGGCAUCAAUAGUCGUCCUUACAUGAAUUCUCUUAAUUCAGUUAAAGUUCCGAAUGCAAAUGCUACAUCUCCCACAUCUUCAAGUACCAGCAGCAACACUGGUCCUCAGCUAGAGGGUCCUCCUGGAGCUAACUUGUUUAUCUAUCACAUCCCGCAAGAAUUCGGCGACCAAGAUCUAGCAAAUGCAUUUCAGAGUUUUGGUAGAGUAUUGAGUGCCAAAGUGUUUGUAGACAAAACGACCGGUGCUAGUAAAUGCUUUGGUUUCGUAAGCUACGAUUCUCCUGCUCCUGCGCAGGCAGCCAUAAGUAUGAUGAAUGGGUUCCAAUUAGGUGGUAAAAAGCUGAAAGUACAACUCAAGAGAGACAACAGCAAGCACAAUAAACUUUAUUGA